AACGCACCUUGCGCUCCUUGGUAUUCCGAGGAGCAUGCCUGUUUGAGUGUCAUUAAAUUCUCAACCUCACCAACUUUGUUGUGUGAAGGCUUGGAUGUGGGGGUUUGCAGGUCCGCACUCGUGUGGUCUGCUCCUCUAAAACGUAUUAGUGGGUUAGUCCCCUAAUCUAUUGGUGUGAUAAUUAUCUACGCCGUGGAUUUGGAAGGCUAUCAUAGACCUGCUUCUAACAGUCCUCUGGACAACUUUGACAAUUUUGACCUCAAAUCAGGUAAGACUACCCGCUGAACUUAA
rnacentral:misc_RNA from 1 species